rnacentral:ncRNA from 1 species
AAUAUAUUUGGCAAUAGUACACUUUUGCGAGGCAUUAGAAAAUAAACGGUGUUGCAAGUUUAUCAAUCAAUAAGUGGAACUCGGUCAGAAAAAUUGAAAGUGAACUAACAGUAGUUUUCAACGUGUUGUCGCGUUAAGACAUUUGAGACGUAUUGAUACGUGAACAUAGGUGGUACCGCGAAAACUCGCCCUGUGU